UAAGGAAUAUUGGUCAAUGGACGCAAGUCUGAACCAGCCAUGCCGCGUGAAGGAUGAAGGUCCUCUGGAUUGUAAACUUCUUUUAUAGGGGGCGAAAAAAGGGAAAUCUUUCUCACUUGACAGUACCCUAUGAAUAAGCACCGGCUAACUCCGUGCCAGCAGCCGCGGUAAUACGGAGGGUGCAAGCGUUAUCCGGAUUCACUGGGUUUAAAGGGUGCGUAGGCGGGCGUAUAAGUCAGUGGUGAAAUCCUGGAGCUUAACUCCAGAACUGCCAUUGAUACUAUAUGUCUUGAAUAUGGUGGAGGUAAGCGGAAUAUGUCAUGUAGCGGUGAAAUGCAUAGAUAUGACAUAGAACACCUAUUGCGAAGGCAGCUUACUACGCCUAUAUUGACGCUGAGGCACGAAAGCGUGGGGAUCAAACAGGAUUAGAUACCCUGGUAGUCCACGCCCUAAACGAUGAUUACUCGACGUGUGCGAUAAACGGUACGCGUCUGAGCGAAAGCAUUAAGUAAUCCACCUGGGGAAGUACGACCGCAAGGUUUGAAACUUAAAGGAAUUGAC
rnacentral:rRNA from 1 species